rnacentral:rRNA from 1 species
UCGAGAAUUUUUCACAAUGGGCGAAAGCCUGAUGGAGCGACGCCGCGUGGGGGAUGAAUGGCUUCGGCCCGUAAACCCCUGUCAUUUGCGAUCAACCGUUAUUAUUUAAAAGAUGAUAACCUGAUAGUGGCGAAAGAGGAAGGGACGGCUAACUCUGUGCCAGCAGCCGCGGUAAUACAGAGGUCCCAAGCGUUGCUCGGAUUUACUGGGCGUAAAGGGUGCGUAGGUGGCGGUGUAAGUCGGAUGUGAGAUCUCCGAGCUCAACUCGGAAACUGCAUUGGAAACUACAUUGCUCGAGGGUUGGAGGGGGGACUGGAAUACUUGGUGUAGCAGUGAAAUGCGUAGAUAUCAAGUGGAACACCAGUGGCGAAGGCGAGUCCCUGGACAACUCCUGACACUGAGGCACGAAAGCUAGGGGAGCAAACAG